rnacentral:rRNA from 1 species
UCGGGAAUAUUGCGCAAUGGAGGAAACUCUGACGCAGUGACGCCGCGUAUAGGAAGAAGGUUUUCGGAUUGUAAACUAUUGUCGUUAGGGAAGAGAAAGGACAGUACCUAAGGAGGAAGCUCCGGCUAACUACGUGCCAGCAGCCGCGGUAAUACGUAGGGAGCGAGCGUUAUCCGGAAUUAUUGGGUGUAAAGGGUGCGUAGACGGGAGAACAAGUUAGUUGUGAAAUACCUCGGCUCAACUGAGGAACUGCAACUAAAACUGUACUUCUUGAGUGCAGGAGAGGUAAGUGGAAUUCCUAGUGUAGCGGUGAAAUGCGUAGAUAUUAGGAGGAACACCAGUGGCGAAGGCGACUUACUGGACUGUAACUGACGUUGAGGCACGAAAGUGUGGGGAGCAACAGGAUUAGAUUCC